CAGGAUCAUUUGUGACAAAUGACGUGACAUCUUUGGCAACACUUUUCCAAUAUUCUAUUGCCCUUUUAGAUUUGAGAAGCCCAGCAACCACGACAAUAGUUAGUGGUAAGCCGUGACAUUUCUCUGCAAUUUGCUUCCCAAUUGUCUCAAACUCAGAUGGUAAUGCUUCAUUUGAAAAUGCUGCACUUUUAAAAAGGUUCCAACUCUCAUCUUGAUCCAUGAAGUGUUAGCCCAUAUGUUAUUGGGCCUUUAGUUUAUGGACCUUUAGGUUAUUGGCUAUGUAUAUAUAGCCUACUUUUGUUUAGUUAGUUUCAGGCUUUUCAGAUUAUAUUGUAAACCUUAGCCUUUCUUCCUUUCAAUAAAGUUCUAUUAACAUGGUAUCAAAGCUAGUUCGAUCCAUGUCCUUUGAUUUGUUGGUUGAAGAUUUUGUAGCAGGCACCUACUGCGCGGAUCGAACUGUAUUCGUUUGCUGUUUUCGUUGGGUUUUUGGUUGGAUUGAUUUGUUGCUGUCUUCGUUUGCUGUCUGGUAUUGUUCGUCUUUCGUUCUUUUGCUUGCUGCCAUUGUUGUUCGUUCGGAAUUGUUCAACCUAGGGUUUUGCAUCUUUUUGUUUUUUGAAUUGUUUGUGUGUUGCUGUGUUUACAAUGACUGGAAAGGAUGAUUCUCUCCAGUCCAUUAGUACUCAAUUAGAUGGUAAGAACUAUGCCUAUUGGAGUUAUGUCAUGAAGAAUUUUCUUCGUGGGAAGAAUAUGUGGGGUUAUAUCACUGGAGUAAAACCAAGACCUAUCGAUGAUAAAACUGAAAAUUUUGAUUUGUUGGUGGACUUAUGGGAAACUAAUAACUCCAAGAUUAUCACUUGGAUCAACAAUUCUGUAACUCAGUCAAUUGGUAUGCAAUUGGCUAAGUAUGACACAGCAAAGGAGGUCUGGGAUCAUUUGGAAAGACUGUACACUCAGUCUAAUUUUGCUAAGCAGUACCAGUUGGAGUAUGAUAUCCGUGCUCUUCAACAGCAUGAUCUCAGUAUUCAAGAUUUUUAUGCUGCCAUGUCGGAUUUGUGGGAUCAAUUGGCACUUACUGAAUCUGCAGAGUUAAAAGGUUUUGGGCCGUACAUUGCUAGACGGGAAGAGCAACGCUUGGUUCAGUUUUUGAUGGCACUACGUUCUGACUUUGAGGGCCUACGUGGAACAAUCCUUCAUCGAUCUCCCCUCCCUACUGUUGAUUCUGUGGUUCAUGAACUGAUUGCAGAGGAGACUCGUAUCAAGUCUCAAGUGGAUAAAGGGUCUAAAGUAACUACUACUCCUGUCGUGUUUGCUGCUUCAACUGAUCAGUCUAGGCCACCACGUACUCAGACUCGACAAUCUCCUAAAGUUGCAUUUGAUGAGUGUGCAUUCUGCAAACAGAAAAAUCAUUGGAAGGCUCAGUGUCCGUUGUUACUUAACAAGGUCAAACAGCCUCAAUCUGGGCAGCAACAGAAAUAUGGGCAGCAAAAGUCUCCGUCACGCUCCUCUGGUGCUCCUCCAUGGUCAUCUCGUCCUCCACAGUUCGCUGCUGCUGCACCAUCUGUAGAUGUUGAGUCUGUUAGCACUAUGCCACCUUCUGCGUUGGAUCCCCAGGUUUUCGAACAGUUCAGACAGUUCUUCGUUUCUAAUCCUACGGCCAUGUCAGCAUCUAUGUCUCAUUCGGGUUCAGUUUCUUCUAGUACCUCAGGUAUUCCUUCCUCCUUGUGGAUAUUGGAUUCUGGUGCGUCUCAUCACAUGUCCCCUCAUUUGUCAUCGUUUGGUUCUUUGUCACCCAUUUCACCAAUCUCUGUUAUGUCCGCGAGUGCUGUACCUAUGUCAGUCGAGGGUGUUGGUUCUGUUACUACCCCUCACAUUGUCCUCUCUGAUGUUUAUUACAUUCCCAAACUUGCUUUAAAUCUUGUUUCGGUCAGUCAGUUGUGUAAGGCUGGUAAUUGGGUGUUUUUUUCUGAUUCUGUUUGUGUUAUACAGGACCAACACACUCAGAGGGUGAUUGGGACCGGCCGUAGGUUGGGGGAACUCUAUGUCUUGGAGAAUCUCAAAGUGUCUGUAGUUGCUGCCUCUAGCAUAGAUUUAUCUUCUUUUCGUUUGAGUCCUUUGUCUUCUCAGUUUUAUCUUUGGCAUUCCAGAUUAGGACAUGUGUCAGUUUCACGUUUACGUUUUUUGGUCUCUAGUGGUGCUUUGGGUCAUGUGAACACUAGUGAUAUUUCAGAUUGUAGUGGUUGUAAACUGGCAAAAUUUUCUGCCUUACCGUUUAAUAAAAGUGUGUCUUAUUCUGUUGCUCCUUUUGAUAUUAUUCAUUCUGAUGUAUGGGGACCAGCGCCAGUAUCCACUAAGGGUGGAUCGACCUAUUAUGUUUCGUUUAUAGAUGACUAUACUCGUUAUACCUGGGUGUAUCUUAUGAAACGCAGAUCUGAUUUCUUUGGCAUUUACAACAACUUUAGAGCCCUUGUUAAAACACAACAUUCGGCUGUGAUAAAGUGUUUCAGGUGUGACUUAGGGGGUGAAUAUACCUCUAAUGACUUCACUCAGUUACUUGCCUCUGAUGGUACCAUACACCAGUCAUCUUGUACCGACACUCCUGAGCAGAACGGUCUGGCAGAAAGAAAACAUCGUCAUAUUGUUGAGACAGCACGCUCUUUACUUUUGUCUGCAGAGGUUCCUAGUAUUUUUUGGGGAGAAGCAGUUCUAACUGCUGUAUAUGUGAUUAAUCGUAUUCCUACUGCAUUGACUUCAGGGAUGUCUCCGUUUGAGAAACUAUAUGGUCACCCGCCGAAUUAUUCUGCAUUACGAGUUUUUGGAUGUACUUGCUUUGUUCUUCGUCCUCAUGUUGAACGAAAUAAGUUAGGGUCAAAAUCAGCUAUAUGUGUGUUUUUGGGGUAUGGUAUUGGACAAAAAGGAUAUCGUUGCUAUGAUCCUGUAAGUCAGAAAUUAUAUGUUUCACGACAUGUCACUUUUUUGGAACAUAUUCCUUUUUAUUCCAUUCCAGCUAAAACCCAUGAUGUGACAAAGUCAGAUAUUCGGCUUAUUGAUCCCUUUGGGAUUGACAUAGAGGUUCCAGUUCCGGAUUCAUCCAUGCCAUCUGGUGUGCCACCUGAUAGUGCUUCAGCCUCGCCUGUGCCUGAGUCUGCUCCUUCGACUGUUGAGACUGGAGACCCACCACCUCUGAGGAGGUCUACUCGACCUUGUAAGUCCACCAAACUGCCAGAUUUUUACUAUUCUACAUAUUCAGCCUCAUUUGCUUCCUUUAUUGCAAACAUACAUCAUUUGUCUGAACCUGAGUCGUAUAGAGAGGCUGUGUCUGAUCCUCUUUGGCAGAAUGCUAUGGCUGAGGAACUUGCUGCUCUUCAUCAUACACAUACAUGGGAUUUGGUUACUCUCCCACCUGGUAAGCAUGCGAUUGGUUGUCGAUGGGUGUAUAAGAUAAAAACAAAAUCUGAUGGGUCUGUUGAGCGAUACAAGGCAAGACUUGUGGCAAAAGGGUAUUCACAACAAUAUGGUAUGGAUUAUGAGGAGACUUUUUCCCCCGUAGCAAAGAUGACGACUGUUCGCACUAUGAUUGCUGUUGCAUCCGUUCGACAGUGGAAGAUAUUUCAGAUGGAUGUCAAGAAUGCUUUUCUGAAUGGUGAUCUCCACGCGGAAGUUUAUAUGACUCCUCCCCCAGGUAUUGACCACCAGCCAGGUGAAGUUUGUCGGCUUCGAAAAGCUUUAUAUGGUCUCAAACAAGCCCCUCGUGCUUGGUUUGAGAAAUUCUCCACUGUUAUUACUUCCCUUGGAUUUGUCCCGAGUAACCAUGAUUCAGCAUUGUUUGUUAGAUGUACAAGUGCAGGGCGAAUUCUAUUGUCCUUAUAUGUAGAUGAUAUGAUUAUUACUGGUGAUGAUCAUAGUGGUAUUGAGUUAUUGAAGCAUGAUUUGGCUCAUCGAUUUGCAAUGAAGGACUUGGGCUUGCUGCGUUAUUUUCUGGGUAUUGAGGUGGCUCAGUCUAAGAAAGGGUAUCUUCUUUCUCAGACUAAGUAUAUAUCUGACUUGUUUACACGGGCGCGUCUUUCUGACAACAGGACUGUAGAUACUCCCCUUGAAACCAAUGCACGUUACUCUCCUAGUGAUGGUGUUCCAUUAUCAGAUCCGAGUCUUUAUCGGACUAUUGUGGGUAGUUUGGUUUAUCUUACGGUUACUCGUCCAGAUAUAGCACAUGCAGUUCAUGUUGUUAGCCAGUUUGUUACUGCUCCUACUUCUGUGCACUGGGGAGCUGUACUUCGUAUUCUAAGGUAUCUUCGUGGCACUCAGUUUCAGAAUCUCUUGUUUCCCUCGACGUCAUCUCUCGAGUUGCGAGCCUAUAGUGAUGCUGAUUGGGAUGGAGAUCGCAAUGAUCGUAAAUCCACCACUGGUUUUUGUGUGUUUCUUGGAGACUCUUUAAUCUCGUGGAAGAGCAAGAAACAAGAUGUUGUCUCUAGAUCUUCCACGGAGGCUGAGUAUCGUGCUAUGGCUGUGACUACAUGUGAGAUUAUUUGGUUACGUUGGCUUCUUGCAGAUAUGGGGGUUCACAUUUCUAUGCCUACUCCCCUGCAUUGUGAUAACAAAAGUGCGGUACAAAUUGCAAAGAAUUCUGUCUUCCAUGAGCGUACGAAGCACAUUGAGAUUGAUUGUCACUUCACCCGUCAUCAUUUACAGCUCGGGACCAUAUCGCUUCCUUUUGUUCCAUCGUCUUUGCAGAUUGCUGACCUUUUUACGAAGGCUCAGUCGGCGUCUCGAUUUCGUUUUUUGUGUGACAAACUCUCAAUGCUUAUUGCUGUUGCAUUGUGAGUUUGAGGGGGGAUGUUAGCCCAUAUGUUAUUGGGCCUUUAGUUUAUGGACCUUUAGGUUAUUGGCUAUGUAUAUAUAGCCUACUUUUGUUUAGUUAGUUUCAGGCUUUUCAGAUUAUAUUGUAAACCUUAGCCUUUCUUCCUUUCAAUAAAGUUCUAUUAACAUGAAGUUCAUCCGCAAAGAAAGAUUCUCUGUAUCAGCAUAACGGGCUACUUCGUUGUUAUGGGUAGUCAACAGUAUUCGACUCCCUGCAUUGUCUUCAGUUGGAAAGCAUCGUCUCACUCUAUCCCACACUUCACAACUCCAGAUAUCAUCCAAGACAAUUAAGUACCUCUUUCUCUUUAAACUUUUCUGCAGCAUGUCUGCUAGCUCUGCUUCACCCCUCGUCUUAACCAUGUCAUCCAUUUUGAUCGUUGAUUCCAAAAGGCCCAGCAAAAUUUCCUUUCUGUUGUGCUGUUGAGAUACAGUAGCCCAGGCAUGAACAUCAAAACGACGUAGAACUGAUUUAUUAUUGUAAACUUCUUUUGUUAAGGUUGUUUUACCUAUGCCUCCCAUCCCGACAAUCGGGAUGACUUUGGGUUCACCAGAGUAGCCUGUAGUCAGAUCAUUUAACAACUGUUCCCUUUGAUCAUCACGUCCAACUAUUAUUUUCUUAACAUUUGUGUAUUUCUUUGAUGUUUUGUUGAACCAUUGAAAAAUAUUGAACCAUUGAAAAAUCAUGAAGCAUUGAAAAAUCUUGAACCAUUGAAAAUUCAUCACAUUCCUUUUAUCUUGAAUCUUUGUUGACUCUUUCCAGAUACGAUCAAUGUCCUCUCCUCCUUGAUGCAGGCUAUCAAAAAGCCUCUCUUGUGCCUUUUAUCUCAGAUUUUCAUCAUUUGCCAAUACAACUUCAGUUACUCCUAGUUGAAUUGUUUGUUCAACAAUAUUUGCAACUUCUUUUACCUCUACUUCCAAAUCCAUCAAUUCUCCAAAAACAUUGUUUUUCUCAAAGUUCUUGACAAAUACUUCCAGGGAACUAACUUUUUCACGAAGAGCGCAAAGUUCUUCUCUGUGAUCACAGAUUAGAGAUUGCAUCGGCGAAUUGGAUGUCAAGAGCGAUUCUACUGUUCUCAUAAGAGAAGCCACACUUGCAUGAGCCAUAUCUACUGUAUUCUCAUUUCUUUCCUUUGCAGUUAUGACCUGAAAGUUGUGGCUUGCCAGAGGUCAAUGGUAUUACAAAUAACGAGAUACGCAGAUUUGCUGAAAAGGCACGCAUAAACUAAAUAAGAUCAGGUAAUGUAUUCGCCUUUAUCAUAGCAAGCUCAGGGUAACAGUGAGUUUAGUCACACACUCAGUAGCUUUAGCUCAUUUAACGCGUAAAAAUAAUUUAACUCUCAAUAUGCAAAAUAGAUUGUUGUUCAAAAUUCCGCUUCACUUACUUAGGUAGUGUUUUCUACGUUGCUGGAACUCUUUUAAAAAGUUGCCACACUUGUGUCAGAUCCUUUAAAAAAUUCACAACUUAUGAAGGAUCUAACACGUAAUCAAGUUAUUUUAGAGGAGUUCGAGCAACAUAACUAUAUACAUAGUAAAAAGAGAAAUUAUACAUUGAUAAGCAAGUCACUACAAGUGUUGUUUUUCUCUAAAACUUUAAUUAAAUGAGAGAGUAAUUAAGGGAAACUAACCUUUCAAAGGCAGAUUGUCUAAAACAGUAAGUAAGGUCUGCGUAUGCACACCCCACCCUCCCGAUACCCCACUUGUAGGAUUUUCUGACUUUGCUAGAAGGUCGGACCAUAAAAUUAAAGGGUCAUAAUUCAAAAGUGUUCUUUACUUUCUUUAACUCCGUGUCAAGUCAUAAAGACAAACAUAUCGAAAUGGACCUUGGUUGUCCACUGUAUACUUGGAGGAAAAAGAUACUCCCUUUGUUUCAAAAAGAAUGACCUACGAUACUUUCCUUUUUAAUUCGUUUAAAAAAGAAUGACUUCUUUCCUUUUUUGGCUAUACUUUAAUUUCAACUUUUCACGUGACAUAUUUAAGAAUAUAAGAUUAAAUGGCAUUUUGGUACAUUGACAUAUCUUUAAUUUAAACCAUAUAAUUAAGAAGGAGAUAAGCAUCUAGUACCCCAAAUUAUGGCCAAAGUUGUUACAACACACUCCAACUUCACACGGGGCCUAUAACCCCAUGAACUCAAUUUUAGCGUACUUUUGACACUCUUUUGUGCUGACGUGACAUCUUUAUUACAUAAAAAUAGAUUCCACAUCAAAGGUGACAAGUCAACUAAAAAGGUGCCACAUCAGCUAAAAAGAUUGACAAAAAUACGGUAAAGUUGAGGGUGUAAUAGGACCCCGUGAAGUUUGGAGUGUGUCGUGGCAAAUUUGGUCAUAGUUCAGGAAGGUACUAGAUGCAUGCUUUACUCGAUUUAUACUUUCGCGUUAAGUCAAAUAGAUCAUUCUUUUUUAAACGAAGGGCAUAAUUUUUUUAUCCGAGAUCAUCGGUAACAUCCUUAAAAAAAUUACAGGGUGGCAGUAUGUAUGCUAAGUUGUUGAGGUUGAUAUUAAAAUGGUCACUCAAAGAACAGUUAUUAACUCAGAAAGAUGAGUAUUUAAGGAAAACUAACCUUUCAAUGGUAGUUUGUGAAUACAGGAAGAAAGUUGGGAAGAAGUAACUUAUCACUGCAACAAAAUACUAUAAAAAAACACAAAUAUGAGUAUAUAAAAACAAAAAGAUUUUGUAGCAAGUAAUCAAGAUUAAAAUCAAGAAAAAAAAUGGCAUACCUCUCUGAGUGUCUAACAAAGUGUUUGCCUUGUGAUAAAUUGGGAUGAGAACUUCAAUUAUUGUUGUUGCAUGUGGGGAAAGUGCUUUUAUCUAUUUAAAUGGAACAACACAUCAAUUGUAGUUUUAAGAUAAAAAGUUAUUAAAGAAUGAUUAUGCAGAUACAUAUCUUUAUUAUAUUUUAAAAAUAAAGAACACUGUUUUUGUUGUCAUCUUGUUUUUCUGAAUGUUAUGUCCUUUCUUUAUUAGUUGUCGUGUUUUCUUCACUAUCGUUUUACCUUUUCCUAUAAGUAAUUUGAUUUAUCAUAUUUGAGCGAAGGUCCAUCAAAAACAUUUUCUGUACCUCCAUGAGACAUUGGCAAAGGUAUGCAUAACCCUUCCCAGAUGUCACUUAUUCAAUUAUGUAAAGAUACAUUAUAAAAAGACCUUUACCAAUUUUUUAUGUAUGUAUUAGGUGCCUGCCACUUAUAUUUUGUGACCUAAUAAGUUAAUAAAGAAAUAAUAAGAUAAGGGUGGAAGAUCAAAACAAAUCUCCUAGAAGCAACAUUGUUAUUUUAAAAAAAAGAUAGAGAAUCUUUUUGAACAUGAUCAAUUAUCAAGACUACCUUCAAUGGGACAUAUAACAACUUAAUAAGUACUCCCUCCAUUUAAAAAAAAAAGAUCUGUUUUUACUUUUAGCUUGUUUAAAAAAAUGAUCAUUUUCUUUUUUGGCAGCAAUAUUUCAACUUUUCACAUGACAUGUUUAAGACCACAAGAUUAAAGGACAUUUUAAUACAAUUGAUAUAACUUUAAUUUAAAAUCACAAGAUUUAAAAAUCUUUUUUAUUUUGUUAAUACAUGCUAUGUUCUGAUUUCUUUAGUAGCAGUCAUGUUUUUUUCUAUUUUUAUAAAUAAUUUGAUUUACUGUAUUUAAGUGAAGAUCCUUCGAAAAUGAUCUAUCUGUUUUUAUGAGAUAGGAACAAUGUUUACAUACACUUCACCCUAUUCAGAUCUCACUUGUGGUUAUACCUCAUUGAUAUAUUAAAGAAAAAAAUUGGCCAAUUUGCUGUACCAAUCACAGAAUUUUUAUUUAUAUUAGUUGUCUGCCACUAAUACUUAGGAGCCAAAUAGUGAAGUAUCGUUUCUCUUAAAUAAAAACAAACUUUUUGACUCAUACAGUGAGUUAUGACACAAUUAUCAAGACUAUCUACUUCCUCCAUUUCAACAAAACUUGAUCUGUUUUUAUUUUUAGUCCGUUUAAAAAAAUUAUUAUUUUCUUUUUUGGUAACAUUAUUUCAACUUUUCACAUGAUAUGUUUAAAACAACAAGAUUAAAUAAUAUUUUAGUACAUUUAACAUAACUUUAAUUUAAGGCCACAAAAUUUAAAUUUUUUUUUUUUUAAUUUUGUUAAAUUCCGCUCUAACUCAAAAUAGAUCAUUCUUUUUUAAAACGAGAGAUUAUUAUGUUAGUGAUUAAUAAUAAAAUAAGAAUGCAAAAUUUGCAGAAAGUUUGAAAAAUGCCCUUGUACUUUGCAGAAAGGUUGAAGUUUGCCCCCUGGAAGAAGUUUGGCUCGCUAAGUUUUUCCCCCUACUAGAAAUUUGGUUCACUAGGUUAUCGUCGUUACAUUGUGCUAAAUUUUAUAUUUAUAUUAGCACAUAAACUUGCCACAUGGCUACACGGCCACAGAGACACAACUCAAAAUAUCCCCAAGAAAAAAUAGGAGUUUACAGGUGAAAAUAACUCUAGAAGAAAAUGUAGGGUAAGACUGUAUGUACAAUAGUCCCUUGUGGUUAAACCCUUUUCGAAACCCCCCACGUAUCAAUAGUUUUAGUGCACAGGACUGCCCUAUGCUUAUAAAAGUUUUCUAACACUGAAUCUUGAUAAUAAAUGUUCACUUAAUAAUUCUUUUUCAUAAACGGCUUAAGUUUUUAAAACUCAAGUGGGAUCAUCGAAAACAAAACUAAUGAAUUAUGCAUAAACAAGCCAUUUAACUUAGCCCCAACUGGUUUCUACACCCUCCAACUUUGGGCGUGUGCAAGUAGAUAUACGUGUCCUACAUGAAAAAUCUCACGUGAUUUUCCAUGUAGAAUGCAUGCACCUCACAUGAGUUGUCAUGUAAGAAGAGGAUAAAACUUCUUUGAGGGUGAAAUGGGUGUGGCAUUUAUAUAAAAAACACACAGUUCAUAAACAUGUCCUUUAACUUAGCUUCAACACACAUCUAUGACCUCCAACUUUGGGUGUGCACUAAUAAGCACUUAAGCCUGUAUAAAGUUAAACAAAUAGACACAUACAUCCUAUGUGGCAUCCUACGUGGCCAAUUCUUGUCCUACAUUGCGUUCUACGUGCAUUAUGUCACAUUGGACGUAUGUGUCUACAUGUUCAACUUUAUAGAAGUUUUAAGGGUCAACUUAUUCACACCAAAGUUGGAGGUCAUAGUUGUGAUUUGAGGCCAAGUUAAAGGACAUGUUUAUGUAUUAUGCCUAUAAAAAAUAACCCAACUUUCUGGGGAUAUAGACGACCUCAAGACUGCAUUUGGUACUGAAGGGUGAAAUGUCAUCUUUGUAUACACAAGGACAGUACAAUCUUACUAGUGGGGGGAAGAUAUUCUAUGACGAGUAGCUACAUGGCUCCUCUGGGAACUGCUAAAGGAGAUCGAUUGGGUUCUGCUAACUUGAUAUGGAACUCAGUAUCUCAACCAAAGCAUAGGUUUAUUGCAUGGUUAGCAGCUAAAGAGAGAUUGCUCGAACUAAAAGUAGACUAAUCAAACUCAAACAUUCAAGUAGAUGAUGUGAAGACAUGCUGUAUAUGUACCUUAUCAGUGAUGGAAACUGCCAAGCACUUAUUUGUUGAGUGUAGCUGGUUAUAAACUAUUAUGCACGUGUUGUUGUAUUGGCUUGGAAUCAAGCUGCAGCAAGUAAAUGUGAAGCAAGUAUUUGAAGGCAUUAAUAAGAAACAUUGGAAAUGAAUGCAAAAGCGUCUACUUACUUAUGCACACGCAAAGUUGGACGACAUAGAUGCCAGUUGAGGCCAAGUAAAGGAGCACAUUUAUGUGUUAUCCCUUCAAUUACACUUCUGGGAAUGAUGAUAUUGUUUCUGACCCAACACUUCUUCAACCUUUUGACAUUCCUGGUCUCAACAAAGGGGAAUUUUCUAAGCUGCUUGUUUUAUUGCAAAGAGCUCAGCUUCCUGACAUGUCUACAGCCUGCCCAUCUUUAGCUUCUGCUAAUUUUGCUGGUAAGCUGCCUCAUACAUGUUUGCUGACCAGGAUAGAUAGCACUUUAUGGAUUAUAGACUCUGGAGCAUCUGAUCAUAUGACUUCUGACCUUUCUCUUUUGUUUAAUGUUCAAUCCCUCCCAAUUCCUUUUCUGAUUUCCCUCCCCAAUGGAUAUAAAGUCAAAGUCACCAAUACUUGUUCUUUGGCUUUAUUUCCUGACCUUGUUCUGCAUAAUGUCAUAUACAUUCCUAGUUUCCAGUAUAAUCUGAUAUCUGUAUCCAAAUUGCUUCGCCAACCUGGUUUUACCUUACAUUUCACCAAGUCUGCUUGCACUUUAUAGGCCCCCUUCUCUGAAGAAGCCAGUGGUGCUUGGUAAGCUUGAUUGUGGUCUCUACAAAUUUCUCCGGUCAUCAGAUUCCUCAGCUGGUCCUGUUUUUUCCUUUACUUCUGCUUCUGAUUCUCAUGUAUCCCCUGUUAGUCCCACUUCUCUUUUUACUCAAAGUUCGUUUGUACCUUGUCCUUCUGUAACUACUGAUGGUUCUAUCAAUAAAACUAAUGUUUUGUGGCACUAUAGACUUGGUCAUGCCCCUUUCUCUAAAAUAAAAUGUAUUCCUGAUAUUGCAAGUGGUUUGUCUUCAAAACAAUCUUUCACUUGUCCUAUCUAUCCCUCAGCUAGGCAACCUCGAUUACCUUUUAGUGAUAGUUCUUCUACUUCCUCAUCUCCUUUUGAACUUAUUCACAUUGAUACUUAGGGCCCCUAUCAUUCCCCCAACUAUGAUGGUUUUAGGUAUUUUAUUACCAUUGUUGAUGAUUACUCUAGAGCCACCUGAACACAUCUUAUGGGUACUAAAAGCAAUGCUUUUGAUCUCCUCAAAGCUUUUAUUACCUUAGUAGAAACUCAGUUUCAUUCUCAAGUUAAAGUGAUAAUGCUUUGGAGCUUGGUUCUUCCUUAUCUGGGUCUCAGUUCUUUGUUUCCAAAGGCAUUAUUCACCAAACUUCCUGUCCUCAUACUCCUCAACAAAAUGGGGUUGUUGAAAGGAAGCAUAAAUUUCUUUUAGAAACUGCUAGAGCUCUUCUUUUCCAAUUUCACCUUCCCAUUAGAUUCUGGGGGGAUUGCCUAUUGACAUCAACCUAUCUUAUUAAUAGGUUCCCCUCCCCUGGACUGCACCACAAGAGCCCUUUAGAGAUUCUUCACAAGAAAGUUUCUUUCUAUUCUCAUCUUAAAGCCUUUGGCUGCCUAUGUUACUCCAUAGUUCCCAUCCCUUAUAGGGAUAAACUUUCUCCGCGUGCCAUUCCUUGUGUGUUUGUAGGGUAUCCAUUUGCUAAAAAAGGUUACAAACUUUAUAACCUCCUUUCCAAGUCUUCUUUUGUCUCUAGGGAUAUAGUUUUACACGAGUCUAUUUUUCCUUUUGUCUCCACCUCUUCAUCAUCCUCUCCUAUGUGUCCUUUUCCUUUUUCUUACUUUGAAGAUCCUGUUUUGCCUAAUUCUUCCCCUGCUGCACCUUGCCCGAUUGCUUCUAUUUUUCCUCCUGCUGCUGUACAUGUACCUUCUCUUAGGAAAUCUUCCAGGAUUUCACACCCUACUGGUUACCUUCAAGACUAUGUCUGUCAUACUUCCUUUAUUCCAUGCUCCUCUUCUUGUGCUUUUAUUCUUGGUCAGGAUCCUGUCUUUGAGCCUUGUAGUUAUUCUCAAGCUGCUCUAUUUCCUCAAUGGAAAUCUGCCAUGAGAUAGGAAUUUGACACUUUGGAGGCUAAUAAUACAUGGUCCAUUGUUCCUCUCCCUUCUGGUAAAAAUCCCAUUGGGUGCAAGUGGGUCUACAAAAUCAAAUAUAGGGCUGAUGGCUCUUUGGAAAGAUAUAAGUCUCGCUUGGUGGUUCGGGGUGACGCUCAAGUUGAAGGUAUUGAUUUUCAUGAAAAAUUUUCCCCUGUGGUCAAAAUGACUACCAUUAAGACUCUUGUGGCUAUUGUUGUUAAACGUCGUUGGUCUCUUUUCCAACUUGAUGUUAACAAUGCUUUUCUACAUGGGGAUUUAGAUGACGAGGUCUAUAUGAAAUUGCCCCCUGAUCUUACUAUUUCAGCUUCUUCUUCUGUCCCUAUGGUCUGCAAGCUCAAUAAGUCACUUUAUGGGCUUCGUCAGGCCUCUUGUCAAUGGUAUGCAAAAUUGUCCACCACUCUUCAGUCGAGGGGCUACGCUCAUUCUCUUAAUGAUUACUCCUUAUUCACUAAGGGGUCUGCUGAUUCUCUUGUUAUCUUGGCUGUUUAUGUUGAUGAUAUUAUUUUGACUGGUACUGACCUUGGGGAGAUCUCUGCUCUUAAGUUGUUUCUCCAUGAUCAUUUCAAAAUCAAGGAUCUAGGUUUAUUACAUUACUUCUUGGGAAUUGAGGUUUCCUACUCUGCUGGUGUGCUUUUGCAUCAAAGUAAGUUUGUUACUGAUUUGCUAUCUGAUUAUGCUUGUGAUGUUGCUUCUCCUGUGGUUUGUCCUUUGGAACUUCACAAGAAGUUGUAUGCGCUGAUAUGGGGGAUCCCUUGGCUCAGCCUAAGUCUUAUCGCAGUCUAGUGGGAAAAUUGAAUUUUUUGACCCACACUCGCCCAGAUCUCUCUUUUGUUGUUCAACAUUUAAGCCAGUACUUGCAGCAUCCUUGUGUGCCUCAUAUGCAAGAUGCUUUACAUCUUUUGCAUUACCUCAAAGGUUCUCCGGGUUUUGGUUUGUUUUUCAGUGACUCUCUUGAUCUAACUCUUCGAGUUUUUUGUGAUAGUGAUUGGGCGUCUUGCCCUGACAGUCGCCGUUCUGUUACUGGUUUUUGUGUCUUACUUGGUGAUAGUUUGAUCAGCUGGAAGUCCAAAAAGCAUCCUGUAGUUUCUCUUUCUUUUGCGGAGUCUGAAUAUCGCUCGUUGAGUAAAGCUGUGGGUGAGAUUACAUGGUUAUCGCAUCUUCUUUCUGAUUUUGGCAUCCAGAUCUCUCUACCUGUUCCUGUUUUUUGUGAUAGCCAGUCCGCCAUUCAUAUUGCCAAGAACCCGGUCUUCCAUGAACGCACGAAACACAUCGAAUUGGACUGCCACUUUGUUCGUGCCAAGCUUAGUGCUGGACUGAUCAGUCUCCAUCACACUCCUAGUGCUUCUCAGCUGGCUGACAUCUUUACUAAGACUUUACCUGGUGCUGCUCAUCAUUCUCUUCUGCGCAAGUUGAGAGUUCUGUCACCCUCCAACUUGAGGGGGGGUGUUGACUCUAUAGAUCAUUGUGGAGUGGGCUAAUUAUUUUAUCCAUUCAUCUGUACAUAUUUUACAUUGGCCCAUCUAGUACAUAGGCCCAUUUUAUUUAUCCGAGUCUCUUAUUUUCGGAUCUUGUAUAUAUAUACUAAAAACCCAUGUUUGUAGGGUAAUGGGAAAAACAUUUUUCUGUAUGCACACAGAUUCAUAAUGAGAUAUUUUGCUCUCCAGCUCCUUCGAGAAGUUUCGUCUCUCUUCGAACAUUUUCCCUUCGAACUGGUAGAUUCCAGCUUCAAACAAUAUCUGUCCUUGGAACUUCAAUCAUACGUUGAGGGAACUUAUGCCUUUUCGUUAAAUUAUUAUUUUGAAUAAAUAGAUCACAGAAAUCAAUUCAAGAACAUGAGCUACUCUAUUACUUCUGUGGAGAAUCAUUGAGUUGAAGAAGUCAAACAUACACAAUAAAUAUUAAACCAAGAAACUAAAGUCUGAACUAAAUCAUCAUCCAGUUCCCACAACAUAAAUUGCUCCAUGAAGGAGAAACACCACAAUAAGAAUUAACAAAUUAGAAGACAUUACAACAUAAAUUUAACGAAUCAAACUCCCCAUAUUGAAUAGAAACCGAUUGCAUGCUCUUGUUGCUCUCCUCUCCUUGUUUUCUUUUUUCCCAAAAGCUGCUCGAAGAAUCCCACCAUACUUAGGACGAGCUCAAGCCUUCUUACUCCGGUCUUAUAAAAACAAAGCAACAUAAAUUAGAAAUAUUAAAUCUCCCAUUUACAAUCAAAUCAACUUCAACUCCAAAAAAGUUUAGUUUUCAUGGCCAAAUUUAUUAGGUUCAAAAGCUAAUAUGGUAAAACUAUCCUUAUCAUUUACUAUUUCUUAACUUGUGUGUCAAGUCAAUAGUAGAUAACUAUUGAUAGACGGAGUAACAAUCAGACCUAAUGUGCUCACAUUUAGCAAGUUUAAACUAAAAUAUCAAAACUGCUAAAAAAUAUAUUUAAGGGGCCAUUUUUAACUACCCUCAAAUAUAAGAGAUAUUCUUGUUAAUUUCUCUUACACUUUUUAAGUAGGAUUUUAACCAAAUUUUGUCAAAGUUAUUUUUGUGAAAGAAUAUGGGGCAAAGCUAAAUUACUAUAUACUUACAUGGAUUGGAGAUACGAACAUUCACGGGGUUGUUUCCGAUGUCUUCUUGUUCUUUUUGAAUUCGUGCAGCAGAUUCCCCAAGUUCGGGAAGACACCAAUCUAAUUCAAUCAGUUGUAGUGUGUAGAUUUCUGCAAACUCAAUGGGUAUCUCUUUCAAAUUUCUGCUUUCUUUAAGCACGAGGCGCUCAAGUACAGGAAAAUUGUCAUCUGUGGCUUUCCAGUACUUGAUAGAAUUAUCUGAAAUUAACAAAAACUUUAAUCGAGUAAAUCCCCUAACAUUUGGAUGCCAUUCAUAUCCACGACAAGCAUCACCCAUCAGCUUCAGCACCUCAAGGUUAGGCAACUCAGCUAUGAUGUCCAAGUACGACCAACUUAGAGCAGUUGCUUCCAACUUCAGCUUCUUGAGCAUUGCUGGAAAAGCUAUUGCACUUGCUGGCAAAAGCUUAAAGCAAAGUAUAAUACUCAAUGUUUCAAGUUGCUGCAGAUGGACAAGAUUGUUUAGAAGCCCAGAGUCCCGAAUACUCAAGUCAGUCUCAUAUCCACAGAUUCCUAAUUCUUUGACAUUCUGAAUCCCCAUAAUAACCUCCUUCGUGCAACAACGUGGAUACAAGUAAGAAAUAGUUUGUAAGUUUGAAAAAUCCAAGUGCCUUCCUUUUUCAACAGAUCCACUUGGGCAAUCUGGCAAAUAAAAUCUGGGCAGUUUAAGAUGCCUUAAUUGCAUUAGUCCCCAAAUUUCCUCAGGAAAGGUUAUUAAAACUGAUGGAACAAUGUAUGUCCGCAACCUUUGAACAAUGGAUGUCUGCGGCCGUUGAACAAUGAAUGUCUGCAGAUUCCAUAACCUACAAAUUUCUGGAGGUAUGUCUAACUUUUUACGGCGGUGGAGCAAUGAUAGGUACCUCAACCAGAUGAGACUUAGUAUCUGUACAGGGAAAUUAUCAAUCUCUAUGUGUCUCAACUCCAAGACUUUGAGUAAUUUGAAAUGAAGAAGCUCUGAUUUGAGAAUAUAAUAAUAUGAAUCCUGAAGAUGAAAAGAGAAAAUAGAACGGGUUUGUUUCAAGAGAUCGUUGUUGUCAUGAUCUCUCAACUGACGAUGUACAGGGGUAAGAAGAGCCCUAUAAAGACCAUAGGGACAAUAAUCAAUUUUAUCACCAGUCACGCGUUUAAAGGGCUGCAUUUUUUGCAUACUGAGAUAUCGACAUUCUGAAUAUGAGUAAUCAAGCACAAUGUCGUUCAUGAUAAAAAUGUUUUCUCUUUGAACUUCUCGCAAGCACAGGUUAUAGAUUAGAUCAUGAACCUUACAUGAUCUAAUUUUUGUUCCAUCUAGACUUUUCUUGCCGGCGAGGACUAGACAUCUAUCGACAAGCUCUUGCAAACACUUCUCUGCCUCUCCUUCCAAAUCAUUUUCCAACUUCAGGAACCCCUCAGCCAUCCAUGAUCUCACCAAUCUCUUCACUGGAAUAUCACUGUCUUCUGGAAAAAUUCCGAAAUGCAGAAGACAUCUCUUUAGAUCGCUUGUCAGGUGAUCGUAACUCAACCCAAGAACACGUGAACAUCGUUCAUCAGGGUCAUUUGUGACGAAUGACUUGACAUCUUUAGCAACACUUUCCCAAUCUUCUAUUGCCCUUUUAGAUUUGAGAAGUCCAGCAACCACGACAAUAGUUAGUGGUAGCCCGUGACAUUCAUCUGCGAUUUGCUUUCCAACAGUCUCGAACUCAUAUGUUAAGGCUUCACUUGAAAAUGCUGCACUUUUGAAAAGACUCCAACUCUCAUCUUGAUCCAUGAAGCUCAUC
rnacentral:lncRNA from 1 species